UGAGGCAUGGCCUAUCUCUUCCUUUCUAUCAUAGCCUGAUGUAGUUUUUCAGGUUCCUUUGGGUCCCCUUGGCUGAGAGUGGAGUCCAUUCGGUCAGCUGGGGGAAUUUAGACUUUUACUUUUGGUUUACAGGUGAAUAACAACAUCAAGAAGAAAAUGGAAGCUAUCAGAAAAGCCUCUACCAUCCCCACCACAUCUACCUGUCUACCUGUGUGUGUUCCUAAACUCCAGCUUCUCUCAUGAAAGAACUCUCCAUGCAUCUGGCUUAAGGUCAUCCCAUCCCUGAUCUCCACUUAAG
rnacentral:lncRNA from 1 species